rnacentral:rRNA from 1 species
AGCAGCCGCGGUAAUUCCAGCUCCAAUAGCGUAUAUUAAAGUUGUUGCAGUUAAAAGCUCGUAGUUGAAUUUCGGGAUUUGUCAGUUGGUCGGGCUUCACUGUCCGUACUGAUUCGAUGGAUUCUUACCUUCUGAAUAACCAGCAUGCUAUUUAGUUAGUGCGUUGGGGAAGCAGAUCUAUUACCUUGAAAAAAUUAGAGUGCUUAAAGCGGGCUAGUGCUUGAAUAGAUUAGCAUGGAAUAAUAAAAUAGGACGGCAUGGUUCUAUUUUGUUGGUUUCUAGGAUCACCGUAAUGAUUAAUAGGGAUAGUUGGGGGCAUUAGUAUUCAAUUGUCAGAGGUGAAAUUCUUGGAUUUAUUGAAGACUAACUUCUGCGAAAGCAUUUGCCAAGGAUGUUUUCAUUAAUCAAGAACGAAAGUUAGGGGAUCGAAGACGAUCAGAUACCGUCGUAGUCUUAACCAUAAACUAUGCCGACUAGGAAUCGGACGAAGUUAAUUUUAUAAUGACUCG